CUUCGCCAUUGAGAAGUUCAAAUCAAACGUGUCUGCACAGUCUGUUUUUCUCUGUUUUAUAUUUCCAACAUUUCGUAAUCAUUUUUCGUGUUUGAGGCAAAAUGUGAUCGGAGGGUGACGAAAGCCGUCAUGGGUAUUGUAACGCCGGUCACAAGUAUUCCGAAACUGCACUAAGUAGAGUGGCGACCUAACAUAAUCAUGUUUUUACACUGUCGACCUUGCACGUUUAACAAAUGCCGAGGCGCCCGUUAAGUCAUAUGGGCCAUAAGUAUUGCUUAUAUUUCAGGCUACACUCUUAGAAAUAUUUUUUUCGAACCACAAGGUUCCAUUUCUGUUAAAAAUAUUUCGUUUUUACUAAUCACACCAGGCAAACAUGCUUCGUGUUCUGUACGGGAUGUUCAUUUUUUAUUAUCGUAACCGUAGAAAAUGCGCAAAUACAUCAAGAGUUACUGUACCCCAUCUUAAAAUUCAUUCGCCGUGUGAGCAAGACUUAACUACACACGAAAACAGCUGCUACAGUGGAAAAAAAGGGUCCAAAAGCACGCUGUUUGACGGUACUUGUGUGGCUUGUGACUCGGAAGUGGUGACUGGAGCAAUUCGUUAGAGGGGCUGGUGCUGCUCCAUAAAGGGUACAAAUGCCUCUCACAGCAUACUAUAAAGUCCAAGUUUUUGUCACUCAACUUGGGUGAAUAUGGCUAGACGCCAGCUGAUACCAGAGAAUUUCUGAAUACAAAAAGAGAUGGCCAAGUCUAAAAUCUCCUAGAAAUCAACAGCAGGUGCUUGCCGAUCGAGCUUCACUUGUGAUCUGUGUCGUUUUUCGAACAGUCUCUCACGCACGGCUUUUUCUUUCCUGAAAUUAUAAAAUUGAUACUACAAUUAAAAAAAAACUACAGGCUAGUGGGGAAAACACAUUACUGAAAAUUAGUAGUACUGCCUUACUUAAAAAAUAUUUUCUUUUCAGACACACAUAGGAAGUCCCUCAUAAGAGUCAACAGGUGCAUUUUCAUUUUUGCAAUGUGUAGCUGGAGUCAGUCACAUAUUUUAUGUGAUGACUGAUUUUGAUUGAAAGCAUUUUUCCUGUCACAUACAAAAUUAUUUUUAAAGCAGAAUUUUACGUGUUCAUUUGGUGAAGCAGCCCAAUAUUAGUUUAUUUCAAUAUUCAUUUUGUCAAUAUGUAUUAAUAGAGACACUAAAAAUUUUAAAAACAACCAAUACUCCACCAACGGCUGAGCAACACCCCUGGCCUGUGCGGAUUGCUACCAUCACGCAGCAGCACUGCUCAGUCACUGCUGGAGUACUGAUUAUUCUUUGUGUUUUAGUGUCCUGUUAAUAAAUAUCAAUAAAACAAAUAUCACACUAGGCUAAUUUGGGACUGUCUAUUGAAUAGGAAUGUAAAAUUCCCCUUUAAAAAUAAUUUAGUUUGUAAUGGGAAACAAACCAAUGCUUUCCGCCAACACUUUUUGUUGGGUGAAAGAAGUGAUGAGCAAUAUUUAUUUGGGCCGACUCCAGCUACCUAUUAGUUGUCGAUAAUCACCCACAUGCAUGAGGUCAAAAAAGGGAAAGCAAAAAGUUUUAAAUCAAUAUUGCCAAAAAAUUACCUUCGCCUGUGUUUCUCCAAAGUUUCUUCAGAAAUUUCUUCCUUUGGUUCAAUUAAUUCUCUAAUCAUGGAUCGCAAUCUUUCCAUAGCAUCAGCCAAAUUUAACUGUUGUGACCGAGUCUUGUCUGACCGAAUUACUAAGUAGCCUUCCUUGUUGAUUUUUGUUCUAUGCUGAAACAAAAAAAUAUUUAAUGAUGUUAUGAUUUUAAAUACAUGCACAACAUUUCCCACACUCUUCUGCAUCUGCCUCCUUAAAAUACGAUUUUCAGCAACUGAUACUUUACUAUCACUCUCAGUUUGGACAUGCAGACUGUGAUUUUAAAUCCUUCCAUAAUGAAAUGCGGUGAAAAAUCUGACUGCUCAUGUUAACACUGUGUUAUUUACUUCCUUAUUUUGUGUCACGCAAAAUUCUGUAGCAUAUCAUAAAGGGCAGCACUUUAUCAAUAAAAAUGAAUAUA
rnacentral:lncRNA from 1 species